rnacentral:rRNA from 1 species
UACGUAGGGUGCAAGCGUUAAUCGGAAUUACUGGGCGUAAAGCGUGCGCAGGCGGUUUUGUAAGUCUGUCGUGAAAUCCCCGGGCUUAACCUGGGAAUGGCGAUGGAGACUGCAAGGCUGGAGUUUGGCAGAGGGGGGUAGAAUUCCACGUGUAGCAGUGAAAUGCGUAGAGAUGUGGAGGAACACCGAUGGCGAAGGCAGCCCCCUGGGUCAAAACUGACGCUCAUGCACGAAAGCGUGGGGAGCGAACAGG